rnacentral:rRNA from 1 species
AGAAUCAACGCUGGCGGCGUGCCUAACACAUGCAAGUCGAACGAGAAAGUGGAGCAAUCCAUGAGUAAAGUGGCGCACGGGUGAGUAACACGUGACUAACCUACCCUUGAGUGGGGGAUAACCUAGAGAAAUCUGGGCUAAUACCGCAUAAUACCUUCGGGUCAAAGGAGCAAUUCGCUUAAGGAUGGACUCGCGGCCUAUCAGCUUGUUGGUGGGGUAGUGGCCUACCAAGGCGACGACGGGUA